GAAAAAAAGGAUACACUAUAAGAAAUAUGCUAAUACACGACGUUAUUUUUUCGUCGCUAGCAGAUUCUCACAUAUGUUAACUGUGUCCUUUGUCUUUCCUUCAAUAUUCAGAAAUGUCCCUAGCAGAUUCUCACAUAUGUUUUUCUCGAUGUGCAUAACAUCGAGAUUAUGCCUGAACUUCACGUGUUUCCAGUACGGGAGAUCCCACAGAAUAGACCUCUGUUCCCAACAUUGACCCU
rnacentral:lncRNA from 1 species